CCUACGGGAGUCAGCAGUGGGGAAUAUUGCGCAAUGGGCGAAAGCCUGACGCCGCGACGCCGCGUGAGGGAUGAAGGUCUUCGGAUCGUAAACCUCUGUCAGCAGGGAAGAACGGUCACUGUGCUAAUCAGCAGUUAAUUGACGGUCCCUGCAAAGGAAGCACCGGCUAACUCCGUGCCAGCAGCCGCGGUAAUCCGGAGGGUGCGAGCGUUAAUCGGAAUUACUGGGCGUAAAGCGCUCGUAGGCGGUAUGUCAAGUCAAGGGUGAAAUCCCCGCGCGCAACGUGGGAACUGCCUUUGAAACUGGCAAACUGGAGUGUGUGAGAGGAUAGUGGAAUUCCAGGUGUAGGAGUGAAAUCCGUAGAUAUCUGGAGGAACAUCAGUGGCGAAGGCGACUAUCUGGCACAUAACUGACGCUGAGGAGCGAAAGCGUGGGUAGCAAACAGGAUUAGAUACCCUUGUAGUC
rnacentral:rRNA from 1 species